UACGGAGGGUGCAAGCGUUAAUCGGAAUUACUGGGCGUAAAGCGUGCGUAGGCGGUUCGUUAAGUCUGUUGUGAAAGCCCCCGGGCUCAACCUGGGAAUGGCAAUGGAUACUGGCGAGCUAGAGUGUGUCAGAGGAUGGUGGAAUUCCCGGUGUAGCGGUGAAAAUGCGUAGAGAUCGGGAGGAACAUCAGUGGCGAAGGCGGCCAUCUGGGACAACACUGACGCUGAGGCACGAAAGCGUGGGGAGCAAACAGG
rnacentral:rRNA from 1 species